rnacentral:rRNA from 1 species
CCUACGGGCGGCAGCAGUGAGGAAUAUUGGUCAAUGGACGAGAGUCUGAACCAGCCAAGUAGCGUGAAGGAUGACUGCCCUAUGGGUUGUAAACUUCUUUUAUAUGGGAAUAAAACGUUCCACGUGUGGGAUUUUGUAUGUACCAUAUGAAUAAGGAUCGGCUAACUCCGUGCCAGCAGCCGCGGUAGUACGGAGGAUCCGAGCGUUAUCCGGAUUUAUUGGGUUUAAAGGGAGCGUAGGUGGAUUGUUAAGUCAGUUGUGAAAGUUUGCGGCUCAACCGUAAAAUUGCAGUUGAAACUGGCAGUCUUGAGUACAGUAGAGGUGGGCGGAAUGCGUGGUGUAGCGGUGAAAUGCUUAGAUAUCACGAAGAACUCCGAUUGCGAAGGCAGUUCACUGGACUGCAACUGACACUGAGGCUCGAAAGUGUGGGUAUCAAACAGGAUUAGAUACCCGUGUAGUC